rnacentral:rRNA from 1 species
GAUGAACGCUGGCGGCGUGCCUAAUACAUGCAAGUCGAGCGAACAGACGAGGAGCUUGCUCCUCUGACGUUAGCGGCGGACGGGUGAGUAACACGUGGAUAACCUACCUAUAAGACUGGGAUAACUUCGGGAAACCGGAGCUAAUACCGGAUAAUAUAUUGAACCGCAUGGUUCAAUAGUGAAAGACGGUUUUGCUGUCACUUAUAGAUGGAUCCGCGCCGCAUUAGCUAGUUGGUAAGGUAACGGCUUACCAAGGCAACGAUGCGUAGCCGACCUGAGAGGGUGAUCGGCCACACUGGAACUGAGACACGGUCCAGACUACUACGGGAGGCAGCGGUAGAGAAUCUUCCGCAAUGGGCGAGAGCCUGACGGAGCAACGCCGCGUGAGUGAUGAAGGUCUUCGGAUCGGAAAACUCUGUUAUUAGGGAAGAACAAAUGUGUAAGUAACUAUGCACGUCUUGACGGUACCUAAUCAGAAAGCCACGGCUAACUACGUG